GCGACGCAGCAGAAGUGCCAGCUCGACUUUUAUAUAUUUUAUUGUAGUUAAAAUUCCAGUAUUGCAGCUAUGCUAAUGAGUGAAAUUGAGACAACGCAUUUCAUAAAACACUUUUUUUGUAUUGUACCAAGAAAUUGCAGCAGUGACCACAAAAAGGAGCAAAUUCUGUUUUGUCGGGUUUUGUGCUGAUGAGGACUCCUGCAGUGAUGUGUGACUCAUUUAUAGUUAUUUACAAGGAAAUUCACUGCAAUUGUGAACAUUCAGGAAGAAAAGAAAGAAGGCAUACAGGUUUGGAACAAUAAGAUGACUCGUGCAUGCUGGGACAGUUUGACAGGCGUCAACAUUCUGCCAGCUUCUUUACAUUAUGGUGUCUUGUGUUGCUUGAGCAUGUAGACGGUUUGUCGUACCUCCAGAGGGUUGACAGUGAUGGAGAGAGAGGAUC